rnacentral:rRNA from 1 species
UACGUAGGGACCAAGCGUUGUUCGGAUUUACUGGGCGUAAAGGGCGCGUAGGCGGCGUGACAAGUCACUUGUGAAAUCUCCGGGCUUAACUCGGAACGGCCAAGUGAUACUGUCGUGCUAGAGUGCAGAAGGGGCAAUCGGAAUUCUUGGUGUAGCGGUGAAAUGCGUAGAUAUCAAGAGGAACACCUGAGGUGAAGACGGGUUGCUGGGCUGACACUGACGCUGAGACGCGAAAGCGUGGGGAGCGAACAGG